UCGGGAACAAGUGGCAUUGUACGUGGACC
rnacentral:piRNA from 1 species